rnacentral:rRNA from 1 species
AUGGAUACGCAGGUGAAGCUCGCAGUGGUGGUCAAGGUGAUGGGCCGCACCGGGUCCAGGGGUCAGGUGACCCAGGUGAGAGUCAAGUUCCUGGAUGACCAGAACCGUCUCAUCAUGAGGAACGUCAAGGGGCCUGUCCGGGAGGGCGACAUCCUCACCCUGCUUGAGUCUGAGCGGGAGGCCAGGAGGCUGCGCUAA